ensembl:lncRNA
GGAAAAUCUGUGCCUUUCUGAUACCUCAAUGGGGGCUUUCACCCUCCUUCAUACAGCCGUGGUGCCAGGACUCUGCUAAGGGACACCCAAAGCUUCAGCUGCUGAUGGGGCAAAAUCCAGUGAAAGUCACAGAGCAGCAGGGAUUGGGUGGCACCAUUCAAGUUAAAGCAGCGCAGGCAAGUUUAUAACAUCAGGAAGAGAAACUGCUGCCUGAUCUCUGAGCUACCCAAGUCUUGUGCUCAGGAAGCUGAAAGGAACUACAAAAAUCCCUGCAAAGUGGUCCCUGCUGGCAAAAAGAACCCUCAAGACAAAACCCAAGGUUUAUUACGGAGUAUGAAAAUCAGGAAGCUUUUUGUUCACUUCAUACAUCUCUUCCGACAAAGCCAGGCAUCAGAACCCGGCACAGACUCCAGAGUGAUUAUUGUUACACAUGAUCUAUGGAGCAGAUAAAUUACAGCUUGAUUUUUAUAAGGUUUCUCAGAGCUGGAGAAGGGCAGAUGGGGACAUGGGCUCCUGCAGCAGGGGCUGUUCUUGCAUCACCCACUGGCCGAGCCUCAGAAGUGACCUAACAUAAGUGGAGUGGAAAGCAAGGUGGAAGGUUUUUUGCACACGAUAUAGCAGUAGUAAUGAAUAAUGAAGGAAUUUUUACCUUCUUUGCCAUUUUAGCUUGCUUUUCUUGCUAGUUAUUGCCUUCCAGUCCAAAUGAGCAUCUCAAGGUUGACAAGGUAAUUUGUGUGUAUUUUGGAGCUCAUGACGUGGUAGGUCAGGAAUUAAAGCAGUGCUGGAAGUAGGGAUCACAUCAGAUCCAGUCAUCUGCAGCAGAGGAGGAGAAGCUCAAGCAAGAGCCAUGAUCCUCUACCCUUUUAUCAAAUCUAAGGACUCUUUCUCCCAUCCUCUUCUAAAAAUUCCUAUUUAUCUCAUUCAAAUACAUCUGCUCCUAAUAGAUGAGAGGGCUUAAGUUAUGAAUGCAAGGACAUAAAGACUUCUAAUGAGAAUUAUACACCUUUCUGUCCAUCUCAGCAGCUGACCUGUGCAGUUACCCACUUAUUUUCAAACACUCCGGUGCAAAUGCUCUUGACACAAAAUACUGCAUCAGUGUUGAAUAAGGGCUUAUCCUAUCAACUGCACUGUGUGCUAUGUGCAUAUGUAACCCCAGCCAGGAUCUCACGGUCAGACAAUCCCAAAUUGAUGGCAGCUCUAUAAAAUGUUUUCUCUUGUAGCUGUUCUUUGGGAUGCCCAGUUGACAGCUCACGUAUCAGCACUCGCUCAAGUCACAGUUUAACUCCCAGAAAAUCUUCAGGAGCAACAAAAACAUUGCUGAAAGUAUCCUAUGCAAUAUGAAAACAUUUUUAUCUUUAUCAUAUGGUGGAAGAUUAAAGUCAGUCUACAUGAAAGCAGAGUGUGUAACUGGAUACAAGAUUCCCAGAUAGGUGGCACGUGUCAACAGGCAUUACAUGGUGUCUUUAGGUGAGCCUUUGAUACAGCCUGUUAAAUAGUUCAGUGAGAUAGAUGCAACCAUGAGAGGGUUUCAAGACCUUGAUUUGCUUUCCAGCUCAAAUAAAUCCGAAUAGAACAGACUUAAAUUACCUGUGAUUUUUCUGUCUUUAGGAGGA